rnacentral:other from 1 species
CUGCUGCUGCUCGGUGCGUGAGUCGUCUAGAUCCCUGGGGCCGAUUAUCACCUCUAGGGAGCUGUCCCUGCCGGGGCCGUGGUCCCGGUAUAUGGCGCCCACCUGCGCAAGCAGGCCCGAGAGGACUCUGUGACCACGGCCGAUGCGGCAGCACC